UUUUAUCAAAAGCAAAAAGAUCAUGGCCAGUCUCCUCCAAUACUCUCUCUAUUCCCAGUAGCAUUUUCUGUAUAAUUUGUGUUUAAAAAUACUCUGCCAAUGCAAAUCAGACCUGAGGAGCGUGUGCUGUAAAUUAUAAAUCUUUAUAAUCUAAAUUAUUUCAGCUGCUGGAUUGAUGAUGCUUUUGGAGCUUCACAUCAAGGAUUCUGUUAGCCCCAUCCUUUCUCCUUUGCAGAGAGGGCAGGACCAUCACCUCUCCAGACAUGACCAGGUGAGAAUGAAGCCUUUUUCCUCCUUUUGUCCCUGGCUGCCACAAGCUGGAUGGAUUGAUAAUUGGUCUAACAAUAUGAGUUAUGAAACAUCCAGUCUGAAUAUAAGAAUCACGCUACUGUGAGCACACAAAAUCUGGAAGAGCUUUGUGAGAGACAAAAAGGAACACUGAAGCUUUUCUACCUGAUUUCUUGGGUUAGAUCUGCAGUAAUAAGGAUCAAAACAUUGAAACUUCUAAAUCCAAGUAAAUAAGUGUCAUGAAAAAAUAUAGCUGUCAAGGACAACUGGAGGAGUACUACUGCUGAGUGGCUUAGCUUUAUAAAGCAACUGGAGCUCUCUCCCUCAAACAAAUAGUAUUUACAAGAAGUUCAGGCUAUGACAGCAACUCCAAGGCAAGAUGUUUAAUUUCUCUUCAGGGGCACAUUUAUCUGAGGUUAACUUUUUUUUUUUUUUUGCAUAGAGUAAAGGCAGAUUUUCAGACUCUUUUCAGUUGUCUUUAUGCCACAACUUAGUGUUUCACAGAGGUAAGAUAUAUCGUACAAUUUAUUUCUUCGUUGUCCCCCACAUGUAGAAUAAGCUACUCAAAACUUUAUCACUUCAGGCAUAAGACUUUCAUUGUUCAUUUAAAUAAUUGUGUGAAACAUUACACAGAUUAAUGAUACAAAUGUUUCUUUGAAAUAAAAAGAGGAAAAUGCAAGUGAAGGAAUCAUUUUUUACCAGGCAUGGAACAAACAGGAGCCUGAGAUUUGCCUUGCUUUUUCUUUUUCACACUCCCAUUCUUCAUUCAGUUUUUGAAUAUUUGAGUAGUAAACAAAACAAUUGUGUCUAAUCAAGAUCCACAGGAUGUAUCUCUCUGUCAUUAAGGUAGCAGACUCUCAGGAGACAAAUACUUGGCACCAAAUUUCUCGGUUUCUAUUCUGCGCUGUAUAAAAAUAAGAAUGUUGAACCCAGACCUGGUUUCUCUUUCCUUUUCUGCCUGUGUACUUUGCAGUAUGCAAUCACAGUAUCUUGAGCCACUCCCUGGCUCCUCUUCACUUUAUAUUCUAAUUCAAAAUCAUAAUCCUAGCUUAUUUUUUUCCAGUAUUUUAUUGAUUCCUUCCCUCAUGUCUUCACAGCGCGAUCCCCUCUUGAAUCCUGACCUUUCCCUGCACGGAGGUUUCUGAACCUGUCCGGUUGCUGCUCCUGUCUGUGUGGAAGCUUGGCUGCCUCCAGCUCUCUCCUGUGUGCCUGGCAGGAAGGGAGAAGGGAGGGAGGAAGGCUCUUCCCUGGCAGCUGCAGUGCUCUGUGCCACAGUGGCAUCUAGCUGCCGCAGCCGCGGACGGAUCCGCACAGCCCCGCUGGCAGGAGGGUCACUGCAGAUGGGCUCUCAGAGAGAUCACCUGCCAAAACCUGAGCCUGUGGAAAGCGUGAUCAAAGCCUUAGCAUGGCCUUAGUCUUUGUUUUUUCCCCUGUCCAGCAAAAAUGAGUCCUUGUAGUGAGAGGCAAUCCCGAGUUUCAGGUCUGGGCUUCUCCACUAAAUGCUAAAUUCUGCGCUUUGUCUUCUCCGCUAAAUUCUUUGAGAAAUGCUUGAGCUUUUCAAGGCACUGCCUGCAAGAUUGUUUGUGUAUUUGAAACAGUGUUUCACCCUGCUUUAGCCUUGGAAAUAGUUUAAGAGCUUUUUUCCUAGAGCAUUCCAAAAAAUAUUUCAAGGAUAAUCAACACCCAGUGAAUUCUCCCAAGUAAAUAUUGACGACUGAAUGGAAUGAGCCCUCCAUAUAGAAAAUAGAAAAUGUUUGAGCAGGUACUAGAAGAAUUUUAAAAUAUUUUAUUUUCUAAUACUAAAGAGGGCUGAUGAGGAUUUCCUUUGGAUAUUUCUUGUUGAACCCAUACUUACUGUGUUCACAAUUAUUUUCUUCUGUACCGUUACAGCUAAAUCUUCACCAAAAUAUGUUUUGUUUACAUCCAGACUUUGCCAAUAUAGGAAAACAAGACAAUAAAUGCAAAGCAUCAUUUCCAGAGGUUAAAACUUGCAUGGGUUCUCAGCAUGCCAAGCUGUUGUUGGGGAAAAGUCCAUGAAAAUCAUUCAGGUUUCUUGUCUCCACAAAGCUGCAUACUCCAGGUGUAUAACAGUUUGCAGUGGCAAUUUUCACUGAACCUUCAGUCUUCUCCAAGUUUUCUGGUAACCUAAAAUUCAAAUUUACAAAUUUUCUAAUGUUAUUCCUUGUCAUUCUGUAAAACAAUUCAAAAACUGUUACCACUAUGAGUGCAAAAAUGUUGGGAAAUACAUGUACUGGUGCAAAGAGUUUACACUUAAAAUAAUGUUCAGGUCUGUGGGGUUUUUUUGUUUGUAUUUUUGUUGUUAUGGUUGUUGUUGUUGUUUUGGUUUUUUGGGGUUUUUUUUGUUUUGUUAUUGUAUGUGUCAGAUAAGAAUUAAAACUUAAUGAAUGGUCUAUGAGGGGAAAAGGUGUUUUUGUUGCUCUCAUUAUUCCCAGACAGACUCCCCUGGCAUUUGUCAUGGUGGAGCACCCUAGAGCCAUUAUCCUCCCCACAAAAACCAACACAGCUCACAGGGUAACAGGGCUUCCUUAUUCAUUCUCUGGUGGAUUCUGGAACAUUUAAUAGUUUCUAAUAGUAAUAACCUCAGCCAAUUAAAAAAAAAUAAAUAAGGAAACGUUAUGUUCAUUUUUAAUGCAGUGACAAUUUUGUGACAUUUACUUGACAAGCUCCUUUGAUCAGGAACUGAAGCUGGGACUGAGGAAACCUCAAAACACAUUUAUGUACCAUGCUGCAUCCACAGAGACAGGGGGACUGACAUUGUACCUUGUCAGAACAAUCCUUUGGUAUUCUUAACACAUGAUAUUUAUGUAUUUCUAAUUUGUUUUGAGAGAGUUUAGUUUUAAUUAAAAUUUAAAGAUUAUGAAAUCAAUGAUUUAGUUUCAGGGCUCUGGAGCAGAAUGAGAAAUUUUAAUAAGCUUUUACAUUUUUUAUUGGAGGAAAUUAAAGUUACAGUGUGCCAUACACCAAGGUUUCCUUUUGGAUUUUUUUAAUAAUGAAGUGGCUAAAUUAAGCCAACAUACAGCUCAGGUUUUGAGCCAAGGGAAGAAGCUGUGUCUCUUCACAGUACUAACCUGUCUGUGACCUGUCCUGUGGUGGAAGUCUGUAGGAAACAGAAGCGAAGGCUGAUUUACAGCCUUGCUGUAUAUAUAAUUUAGGUGGGGGAUUUUUUGUGUGUUUUUUCUUUUUUUCCUUCUCUGUGAGGCUCUCUCUCUUUGCUUUUGUUUCUUUGCACAGAUAAAGAUGUGACAAUUAAGUCCCACUGAUCCGUCUGCAGGUGAGUUAUGGCUCAGGGACAGCAGGUUGGAAAAGACUGAGGGAGUAAUGGAAACCAUCAAGGCUCCCUUUCCUCUGGGCUGAAGUUUUCUAUUGCUUUUCUCAGCUGCACUGAAUAAAGUUCAUCCUUCUGCACUCAUCCCAUUCUACCACUGAUAUAUGGGUUUUAUACAACCACUGAGCAACCACUGUAUUUUCUAAAUUAAUUUCUAUUUCCUGUUUAUUAUUAGCCCAAAGUUAAAGAAAAUAAAUCACGGUGUUGUUGUAAGAAGUGUCACCAGGUGAAUUAAACCUUCAUUUUCAUUUACAGGCUGCUUGGAGAUAUGGCUGUGGACUUUGUGAAGCAUCUGGCAUUACGCCAUCUCAUGGUGGCUGAAAAAUAUGAAUUUACAUCCUCUAUUUGUGUUUGCAGGGCAAGAAGAAUUCUGCAAAUCAUAUGUAAGUAGUCAGCCUUACUGAAAAAUGAUAAAAAAUAAUUCCCUCCUAGCAUCAUUACCUUUAAAGGAUGGAAGUGGUUU